ACCUGGGAUAGCUCAGUCGGCAGAGCAUGAGACUUGUACCGUAUUUUUUGCUCUAUAACACGCACCCGACCAUAACACGCACAUAGUUUUUAGAGGAGGAAAAUCCGUAGGCAUGCCACCCAUAGGCAUUUCCUCCAUAACACGCACAGACAUUUUCCCUUACUUUCUAGGAGGAAAAAAGUGAGUGUUAUGGUGCAAAAAAUACGGUAAUUUGAAGAUUGUGGGUUCGAGCCCCAUGUUGGGUG